rnacentral:rRNA from 1 species
AUCCUAGCGUGCGGUGUGAGCAGAAGCCCCAACCAUGAAGGCACACUGAGUUCCUCAAUCCCAACCAUCGUAUCCGACCCGGGUCUAUAACACAUCCGAAGAUGCCACAUUCCCCAGGCCUUUGUCCGACGGUCAAAAUUGAUGCUGACCCAUCAACCAGAAAGUGCGGUCACCCGGAGGCAACUUGAUCCCUGGAAGACGCGACUGACUUCAAGCGUUUCCCUUUCAACAAUUUCACGUACUGUUUAACUCUCUUUUCAAAGUUCUUUUCAUCUUUCCCUCACGGUACUUGUUCGCUAUCGGUCUCUCGCCAAUAUUUAGCUUUAGAUGGAAUUUACCACCCAUUUAGUGCUGCAUUCCCAAACAACACGACUCGUCGAGAGCGCAUCACAAAAGCCCUGGUAGUCCGUGCCAAAGACGGGAUUGUCACCCUCUAUGAUGUUCUUUUCCAAGAAACUUUUGCACAGGCCAGCGCGGAUAGCACUUCUCUAAACUACAACUCGGACCGCCGCAAGAGCAGCCAGAUUUUAAAUUUGAGCUCUUNCCCUCUUCACUCGCAGUUACUAGGGGAAUCCUUGUUAGUUUCUUUUCCUCCG